rnacentral:rRNA from 1 species
AUUGAACGCUGGCGGCAGGCCUAACACAUGCAAGUCGAACGAGUGGCGGACGGGUGAGUAAUGUCUGGGAAACUGCCCGAUGGAGGGGGAUAACUACUGGAAACGGUAGCUAAUACCGCAUACCAUCGGAUGUGCCCAGAUGGGAUUAGCUAGGAGGUGGGGUAACGGCUCACCUAGGCGACGAUCCCUAGCUGGUCUGAGAGGAUGACCGGAAGGACUGGAACUGAGACACGGUCCAGACGGGUGGGGGAGGCGGGGUUGGGGAAUAUUGCACAAUGGGCGCAAGCCUGAUGCAGCCAUGCCGCGUGUAUGAAUGAGGCCUUCGGGUGGUAGGGUACUUUCAGCGAGGAGGCGUUACUCGCAGAAGAAGCACCGGCUAACUCCGUGCCAGCAGCCGCGGUAAUAC